rfam:Hordeum vulgare subsp. vulgare, WGS project CAJW01000000 data, contig: morex_contig_221669
CUAAUAAUCCCUCCGUCCCACAAUUCUUGUCUUAGGUUUGUCUAGAAAAGGAUGUAUCUAAAUACUAAAACGUCACAAGAUACAUUCGUAUUUAGGAAAAAAUCUAUGGCAAAUUUUUUGGGACGGAGGGAGUAUUUC